rnacentral:lncRNA from 1 species
AAGUGAGAAAUGCUGCCUGGUGAGCUGGGCUGGCUGCCUGGUGAGCUGGGCUGGCUGGGCUGCUGGCCCUCGGUCAGCCGCCUGCAACAGGCAGGGCCACGGGAACCUCAUCAGCAGAGCUUCCUGGAGGCAGCGUGGGUGGAAUUGUGGAAUUGUCAUCAGACAGGCCUGGGAUGGAGCUUCCCCACUGGAACGCAGCUGGCUGUGGACAGGGAGUCAGCUGCUGCCUGAAGGGUCAAGGAGGCCUGCGACCACAGCAGGUUCCCACCUGGCCUGGGCCUGGAGGCCAGCAGGCACCUUUCAGGGCUUCCCAGCUCAGCCCCCACAGCUGGAUGGAGCUGUGUUCCCUGCAGAAGUGUGGCCGGCUCCAAGCAGGCACUGGGGGCUCUUUCCCUCCACCUCAGCCCUGGCCUAUGUGGGCAGAGAACGUGCUCACACCAUGGGGGCCCCCGACCAGGCGAGGCCAGGGCGUGUCCACAUUGGGGAAGUGAACGAAGAAGGACAAGUCUAUUUGAGGGGCUGGCUGAUAGUUUAGAAGCCCAGAAUCGCCUGGCAGUGAAUUAUUCUGCUGAGUAACACUGUACCCAGAGGGACGUGGCUGAAAACCCCGGGAGGGGAGGCUGCGUGCCGGAAGCACUCCCAUCCUCCCCCAGCGCCUGCUCUGGGCGUUCUGGAGCUCAGCGUGCAUCCUUGCCUAUGCUCACCUGUGAAGAGGGAGAAUGUCGCUGUCCGAGCAAGUGUCUCUUCUGUGUCCUUGGCUGCCUUCCUCCUCCUCCUCCUCCCGCCGCCUACUUUGGGGCCCCUUCCUCUUCUCAGCAGUGCCACUGACCAGCCCAGCCUCAUGCACCAUCCCGGCCGUUGCCCUGGAGGGCUGGCAGCUGGCAGGACCCAGAGAGGGCCCAGCCAUCACCCCUCCCUUGAGCAGAUGACAGAGUAACACUGGGAGUUACUAUGGACACUGGAAAAGAGAACACAGAUGCAUCUGAGAUUUUGUAGUUGCAACUCUUCUCUGGUAACCAAAAAACAUCAGGACAUUCAUUGCAAAUGCAACGCUGAGGCUUUGAAGGAACCAAAGAGUUCCUUUGCAGCCCUGAGGACGGAGGGAGGGAGGGAAAAGGGAGUGGGGAGGGAGGGAGGGAGGGAGUCCACUGCAGAAAGUGGCACUGAUCCCUCUGAGCCUCUCCGGCCUCAUGUGUAAGAUGCCAGCUGCCCCGGAGUGGCAGUGGCGAGUGAGUGGCUGUGUAAGGUGCCCAGGCAGGAGCAUGUGGGCAGCCCUGUGUGAAGCGGGCAGCCUUGGGCCAGGUUCCCUAGAAGCAGAGCUGAGAUGGGGAUUCUUGUUCAUGCGAUUGGAGGUGCUUCCUAAGAAGUUGCUCCCUGCCCCAACUCCGAGCCAGGGCGGCACUGACCAUGGGCAACUUUCCCUUGCAGGGGGCACUCCCAGCUGCCGGGGAGGGGCAGUGGCCCUGAAGGGGCCUGGUCAGGACCAACAGUUUUCUUGGCAGUGGUGUGUUUGUCCCCAUUUCACAGAUGAGGAAACUGAGGCUUGGAGAGACCCAGGUCCUUGCCCAGGCCCCCACACCACACCCAGGAGGGGCGGCGCUGGAGUCCUGCACCACGUCGCUGUUCUCACCAGGAGAAGGCCCUCGUUUGCUGCAUCCAGCUACCCCAUCUCCAUGCUGCAGGCAGGAGGACACAGCCGGGGCUCCUGGAAGCCUCUCGCGUUCCUGGGCUAGGGAACCUUCCUCCAUCUCAGAGCCGGCCAUGGGGUGUCCCCUGACCUUCUGCAGCCAUGUCCCCCUUCGAUGGAGCUCUGCUUCUGGCCCUUGCUCCGCACUGAAGGCCCCUGUGAUCACAUGGCCCACCCGCCAAUCCAGGUGGCCUCCCUCCAAGGUCAGCCGGUGAGCUGCCUUCAUGCCUGCAUGGUGUCUCUGACCCUUGGCCACGCAACCUAACGUAGUCACAGGUCCUGGAGAUUUGCACUGGGAUAUCUUGGGUGAGGGGAAUUAUUCUGCUGACCCCCGAUGGCAACUGGAGUGGUGGGAGGGGAAGAGAACACCAGGAUGUGUUCAGAGAGAGAGGCGUGGACCUCAGGGGGUGUCAGGGGAAGAGGGCCCGGGAGGGAGAAAGCAUUUGGUUUAGACGUGUUGGGUGUGAGGUGCCCAUGGAAUAGCAGGGUGGAGCUGGUGGGGGAAGCUGGGGGGCUGCCCUGGGGCUCUAGCACAUGGAGGCCAAGGAGGGAGUCGUGGGGUGGAGGGGGCACAGGGCUCCCCAAGGUCCUGGGUCUGCCUCAGGGCCGCUGCUACUCCGCACCCCUCCUCCCAUGCCUGAGCACCCACGGCAGUGACCAGCAGUGACCAUCAUCACCCAAUGAGGAUGGAGAGAAACUGAGGCUGGCCUGAGAUGUCCUGGGGAAUGAGCUGGCACCGGAGUCCCACAGGUGAAGGCUGAUGAAAUUCUAGGAGAGUCAUGUCCUAAAGGAUAAGAAGCAACUAUUCGUUGAGAUGAGAGACUUCAAAGAUAGUCAAUGGUUGUGAAAGUCGGCCAGCCUUUCUGGACCAUCUCGUGCAAUUGCUCUAAUCUAUCCCUGUAAUAGAUCCCUUUAAUACACUUUGUCAUAUGAAUUUUCUUUUUAGUUUUUAGUUUUCUUUUGUUGUUGUUGUUGUUGUUGUUUUCCCAUUUUUAAAAAUUAUUAUUAUUGUGGAGACAGAGUCUCACUCUGUCACCCAGGCUGGAGUGCAGUGGUGUGAUCUCGGUUCACUGCACCCUCUGCCUCCCAGGUUCAAGCAAUUCUCCUGCCUCAGCCUCCUGUUUUUGUAUUUUUAGUAGAGACAGGGUUUCACCAUGUUGGCCAGGCUGGUCUCAAACUCCUGACCUCAAGUGAUCCGCCCACCUCGGCCUCCCAAAGUGUUGGGAUUACAGGCGUGAGCCACCACACCCAGGCCCAUUGUUUUUAAUUAUCAACGUAAUUUUUUACAAUUUGUUAUUCUAUGUAUUUCAUCUUUGCAUAAUUUCCAGUAUGGGAGGUAUAAAUUGUGUAAAGACUUUGAGAGUUCUAAUUUGUUGUAUGCAUUUUUUACAAAUGUGACUCCAUGAAAAUGAUUAUCACAACAUUGACUUUAUGUGUAAGCAUUGUGUGUGUGUGUACAUAAAAUCGUCAAAACUUCCUCAAUAAAUGAAGAGAUGUCCUUUUUGU